rnacentral:pre_miRNA from 1 species
CGGUUUUGAGAUUUGCAAUGUGUUCACAACCAAGAUCAUAUUGCACUUUUCCAGGCCUUC